rnacentral:rRNA from 1 species
GACGAACGCUGGCGGCGCGCCUAACACAUGCAAGUCGAACGAGCGAGAGAGAGCUUGCUUUCUCGAGCGAGUGGCGAACGGGUGAGUAACGCGUGAGGAACCUGCCUCAAAGAGGGGGACAACAGUUGGAAACGACUGCUAAUACCGCAUAAGCCCACAGCUCGGCAUCGAGCAGAGGGAAAAGGAGCAAUCCGCUUUGAGAUGGCCUCGCGUCCGAUUAGCUAGUUGGUGAGGUAACGGCCCACCAAGGCGACGAUCGGUAGCCGGACUGAGAGGUUGAACGGCCACAUUGGGACUGAGACACGGCCCAGACUCCUACGGGAGGCAGCAGUGGGGAAUAUUGCACAAUGGGGGAAACCCUGAUGCAGCGACGCCGCGUGGUGGAAGAAGGUCUUCGGAUUGUAAACUCCUGUUGUUGAGGAAGAUAAUGACGGUACUCAACAAGGAAGUGACGGCUAACUACGUGCCAGCAGCCGCGGUAAAACGUAGGUCACAAGCGUUGUCCGGAAUUACUGGGUGUAAAGGGAGCGCAGGCGGGAAGACAAGUUGGAAGUGAAAUCCAUGGGCUCAACCCAUGAACUGCUUUCAAAACUGUUUUUCUUGAGUAGUGCAGAGGUAGGCGGAAUUCCCGGUGUAGCGGUGGAAUGCGUAGAUAUCGGGAGGAACACCAGUGGCGAAGGCGGCCUACUGGGCACCAACUGACGCUGAGGCUCGAAAGUGUGGGUAGCAAACAGGAUUAGAUACCCUGGUAGUCCACACUGUAAACGAUGAUUACUAGGUGUUGGAGGAUUGACCCCUUCAGUGCCGCAGUUAACACAAUAAGUAAUCCACCUGGGGAGUACGACCGCAAGGUUGAAACUCAAAGGAAUUGACGGGGGCCCGCACAAGCAGUGGAGUAUGUGGUUUAAUUUGACGCAACGCGAAGAACCUUACCAAGUCUUGACAUCCCUUGACGAUGCUGGAAACAGUAUUUCUCUUCGGAGCAAGGAGACAGGUGGUGCAUGGUUGUCGUCAGCUCGUGUCGUGAGAUGUUGGGUUAAGUCCCGCAACGAGCGCAACCCUUAUGGUCAGUUACUACGCAAGAGGACUCUGGCCAGACUGCCGUUGACAAAACGGAGGAAGGUGGGGAGGACGUCAAAUCAUCAUGCCCUCUAUGACUUGGGCUACACACGUACUACAAUGGCGUUAAACAAAGAGAAGCAAGACCGCGAGGUGGAGCAAAACUCAGAAACAACGUCCCAGUUCGGACUGCAGGCUGCAACUCGCCUGCACGAAGUCGGAAUUGCUAGUAAUCGCAGAUCAGCAUGCUGCGGUGAAUACGUUCCCGGGCCUUGCACU